rnacentral:rRNA from 1 species
UACAGAGGUCUCAAGCGUUGUUCGGAUUCAUUGGGCGUAAAGGGUGCGUAGGCGGCGAGGUAAGUCGGAUGUGAAAUCCCGGGGCUCAACCCCGGAACUGCAUUCGAUACUGCUUUGCUUGAGUACUGGAGAGGAGACUGGAAUUUACGGUGUAGCAGUGAAAUGCGUAGAUAUCGUAAGGAAGACCAGUGGCGAAGGCGAGUCUUUGGACAGUUACUGACGCUGAGGCACGAAGGCCAGGGGAGCAAACGGG